rnacentral:rRNA from 1 species
UACGUAGGUCCCGAGCGUUGUCCGGAUUUAUUGGGCGUAAAGCGAGCGCAGGUGGUUUAUUAAGUCUGGUGUAAAAGGCAGUGGCUCAACCAUUGUAUGCAUUGAAAACUGGUAGACUUGAGUGCAGGAGAGGAGAGUGGAAUUCCAUGUGUAGCGGUGAAAUGCGUAGAUAUAUGGAGGAACACCGGUGGCGAAAGCGGCUCUCUGGCCUGUAACUGACACUGAGGCUCGAAAGCAUGGGGAGCAAACAGG